UACGUAGGUGGCAAGCGUUGUCCGGAUUUACUGGGCGUAAAGAGCGCGCAGGCGGUCGUUCAAGUCGCGUGUGAAAGCCCCCGGCUCAACUGGGGAGGGUCACGCGAUACUGAUCGACUCGAAGGCAGGAGAGGGUAGUGGAAUUCCCGGUGUAGUGGUGAAAUGACGCAGAUAUCGGGAGGAACACCUAUGGCGAAGGCAGCUCGCUGGGACGUUACUGACGCUGAGACGCGAAAGCGUGGGGAGCAAACAGG
rnacentral:rRNA from 1 species